CAGGUAGGACUACCCGCUGAACUUAAG
rnacentral:rRNA from 5 species